UGGCAUUUCCUCUGAAUUACACAACGCAGACUUCAUCGGUAGUCUGUGGCGGUGAAGAAUGUGGAUGUGGUACAGCGCUGCGUGUCUGAGUCCAUUCUGGCUGCUCUAAUGGAAUAUGACAGACUACGACUUACAAACAAUAGAAAUUUAUUUCUCACAGUUCUGGAGGCUGAGAAGUCCAAGAUCAAGGCCCAGCCGAUUCGGUGUCUGGUGAGCACCCACUUGCUGCUCCCUAGAGGGUUGUUUUCUCACUGUGUCCUCACGUGACAGAAGGGGUGAGGGAGCUCUGUGGGGUCUCUUUUGUAAGAACACUAAUCCCAUUUGUGGGGACUCCCUCCUUAUGAUCUAAUCACCUCCCAAAGACCCCACCUCCUAAUACCAUCAUAUCAAGGGUUAGGUUUCAACAAGUGAAUUUGGGGCGAGGGGGACUCAGACAUACCACUGGGCAUAUGUUGUGCAGAGAAGACAGGCACAUCAUUUGUCCAGAUGGGGCCAAUGGGUGGGUGGGGACAUAGCUCGGGGUCAGCUCUACCUUCGGGGGCCCUCAUGGACCCCCACAAAACUUUAGUUCCUCACACCUGAAAAGCUGCUGCUUCCUGCUUCCAGACAAGACCCUCACUUCUCUGAGGUUUGACAAGUGCUUUCCCUGGGCCACCCGCUGCCCCCCUCCCAGUGUGUGGUCCCUCUCCCAGCCCUGUCUCUGCAGCACAGAGCUGGCCAGGAGGAGAGUUCCAGCAGGAGAGAGCAAGAAUGUGGGUGACAAAGAAAGGCGGAAGAGAGGGAGAGAGGGAGGAAAAGAAAAGGAAUUGCAAUGACAUGAGGAGUGAUAAAGAAGGGAAGAAUUGAGGGGAGAAAAAAGAAGAGAGGGACCUGAAUGGCGAGCUCACCUGUUCUGAGUGGCUCCCCUACUCUCACAGCUGCACCCAGGACCAGUGCCACCAUCGCCGCUGAAAAGCUGCCAUUGACCAUCCACUUAGAACCAAGGCACAGACCACCAAAGCCUUUCUCUUCCACCUCACAUCCCCACUUUCUCCUAGAGCAUAGCUCACAGAGGGUACAUAAUCAUCCAUUUAAUUAAGGGGCUGCUUUUUUGUUAAACUCAUCACGGUCUAUUACAAACACCUUCAGUAUCAUCUCUGUGUGGUCCAUCUGAUGUCACCUAUGGCCCCCACGCUUCCUUCCACCACUGGACAUUUUUUAAUGAACUCUUUGGGGAUUGCAUCACACUGGAGCAAAUCCCAGCCAUCACAUCAUUUCAUCUGUACAUGCCUCAGUCUGAGUCUCUCAAAGACGAGGGCUCUUUUUAAAAACAAAACCACAAAGCUAUGACAUCCCAGAAAAAAAUGAACAACUACUGAAUUUUGUCCAUGUCAUCCAGCUUGGGUUGACAUUUCCUCAAUGAUCUCACAAACAUUUUAAAAGAAUCUGGUUUGUUUGAAACAGGAUCCUGUUCACUGUGUCUCCAGUGCCUGGCAAUCAGCUCUUCUGGCAAAUACUGAUACUCUGUGCAUGUUUGCUGGGUGAACUGAUAAGGGUAGAGAAUGGUUUAAAAAUCCCUCACAUUUACAGAAAACUUCUCAAGAUGGACACUAUGGAUGUUUUCAUCUCAUCCUACUGGCCAUGCCGAGAGGUAGCACCUUUUGUUGUCCCUUUUUGAGGAGGAUGCAACUGAGGCACAGAGAGGCGAAGUGACCUGCCCAAGGUCAUACAGCGAGGAGGUGACUCCUGAAGGAACAGGUGGAGAGGGUGUGGGGAGCCAGCGCUCUGGGCCAGGUGCUACACUUCUGUUGACAACAGCCCUCAACCUGCAGGUGCUGGCACCAGGCAAACAUUAUCUCACUUCAUACCUAUGCACCCUGGAAGAAAAGCUAUCAUUACAUUCCAUAUUUCACCAGGAAGGAGACUGAAGCAGACAGAAUGUCUGCUCUGUGGUGCUCCUGGCUGGAUGGCCCAAGACUUAGCACAGCACCCAGUGCCUGGCAGCACUCCACAGUGUCAUCUGUGCAGUGACCAGAUGCACGAAUCAGUGAGUGAGCAAACAAGCAAGCGGGGUCUCAUCCUGGUGCUCGGUUUGCACCUGGGAAACCAAAGCCGAGAUGAUGUGGCUUCACAGGCCACAUACAUCAAGUGGGUGGAGGCACCUAUACGACUGAGGUACAGUCUCCGGCCUUGGCCAUGCGGAGCCCCCACACAUGGGAUCCUCCUUUAGAGAAUGAACAGAGCUGGAAUGAGGCACUGAGGCUAACGGAUGGACAGAUAAACAGCCUGGAGGCAGCUGGGAAGACAGCCGGGGGACCCAGACAACUCCUCUAAGCAAAAGAAAGCAGACAAUGUACACGCAGAAUAUUGGCAGCAGAUAUAAGCAAGGCAGAUACAGGAAUUUGUGUAACUGCAGAUCACAGAGCAGAAAUAAAAAGGUCCUGAUUUCUCAUCAGCCAGACACGGCCACCUGGAGGCCAAGUGUGUGACUUUUGAAGAAAUACUCUGAAAAGGGCCUGGCUCAACAGGGAGCCUUGGAAUCUUUUUUAAAACAGUUUUAUCAAGAUAUAAUUCACAUACCAUACAAUUCACCCAUUUAAAGUGUACAUUUCAAUGGUUUUGAGUAAAGUCACAGAUAUGUGUAACCAUGCCCACAGUCAAUUUUAGAGCAUUUUCACCAUCUCAAAAGGAAACCCUUCAGCUAUCAUGUGCCUAGUCCUCAUCCCCACUCCCCUGAGCCUUAAGCAGCACUCAUCUGAUUCUCUGUCUCUACAGAAAGGCAUUUACCUCUUCUGGACAUGUUAUAUAAAUGGAAUUAUACAAUUUGGGUGCUGGUCCCUGAAGGUGUUGGGGGAUGAUGGUGGGCAGGCAAGGCAAUAUGACACUCACUGUAGGGCCCUGACUGCCAACUCAGAUGCCCUGGGGCUCAAGGACUGUCCCCUUCAUUCCUCCAAGAUGCUGCCAGAUCUCUAGAAAUCCUUUCCUGGGCUGAGAGGUAAGUCAGCUGAGAAUUCCAGGUUCUAAUUCUCUAAGAUCAUCAGUCCUGCUGGGAAAGUUCAAUUUCAAGGCGAGGGCAGAAUAUGGGAGCAGGCAUGAACCACCUGGGUCGUUGGCUUGUGCACAUAAGAUCAUGCAGACAGACGUGUGCACACAUCCAUACAAGCUGAGCACAUAUACAUGUGUGUGCAGGGGACACACAUAUGGACAUGAACAGGGUUGUGCAGGUGGGGAGGAAAGGGAUCAAUCAGGACUUUGAACAGCAAGAGACAAAAAUGCAACUGGAACCAAUGCAGACAUUAAAAGGGAAUCUGUCGACUCAUGUUUUGGAGAUAGAUGGUGAGGUCCAAAACCAGCCAUCAGAAGCCACCAGGAUUCUCUCGCAGGUCUCAUAUGUUUCUCUCUGUGUAUUGGCUCCACACAGCCAAACCAUCUUGCCCUACUGGCAGCCCCACCUAGGCUCAUGCCUUCCCAUACUUAUGCCACCUCCAACUGGCAAAAACCCCAUGGAAGGCUUCUGACUGGCCCAUCUUGAGUCACAUGUGUGCAUCUCUGGACCAAUCACUGUAUCCCAAAGGAGGAGAGUAGCAAGGAUUAGUGCCACAUGGAAAAUUACUGUGAGCUGAAAAGCCACCCCAAUUUGGGGUAGGGGUAUGAUUUGUACAACUAAGCCUCUCAGAUUUUUCAUCUAUAAAGUAGAAGAAGCAAUCAAACUUGCCUCAGACACGCUUGUGGAGACAAGAUGAGUUAAUAGGUACAAAACAAAACAUUUAGCACAAUGUCUGGCCCAUAGUCAUACCAAGGGUUACCUAUUGUUGAAUAUUACUAUUAUUACUACAACUUCCACAGUCAGAAAGCAGUGCUGGGAGGCAUGUAUUAUCUCAUUCUGCAGGGUAGAAAAGUGAGGGAGAAAAUGCCACACACUCAAUAAGAAUCAUCAGGCAAUAACUUCGUGGAAAUUGCCUUAGGGGGCUGAGAAAACCAUGUGGUAUGCAAGUCAAAUCUACCAGUCACCAGAGUAGAAAUCGGAACAUUUAUGCCCACUGCUUCUUGGUCUCAGUCACCAUGAAAAAUACAGCUGGGCCAAGCUCUGAAUGGAGCAAGGCUCCACUCAGACAGAGACAGGGCAGGUCAGCUUCAGCGGUGGGCAUCAGACCCUCAUGGCCUGAGGGUCCCUCUCGGCAGCCAAGGCAGAGCCACUGGCCUGCAUACACACACACACCUCUUGUGUCACAGGAAGAAGGACCUCAUCCCCUCCCCACAAGGACAGGCAUAUCAGUGGGAUUGGCCAGGUGCCAUAUGACGCACAUGCACACUUACGCAGAACAAGGGAGCACACAUUAAGUCUGAAACAGGGAGAGAUACGCCACACAGGGCAGUGAGCCAGCAUAAGUCUACCAGGCUCCUUAUCUCCGGGUAAGAAAGAGUUCCAGGCCAAAGGCCCAUUCUUAUGCAGCUGAAUGGGGGGUGGAGACUGCACGCUCCAGACCGCCUUUCCCAGCAUAAGGCAGGCAGAUUAAACUGAAAGAUCUACAGCUGGAGGGAAACUAAGAGGCUAUCUUAAUCCACAGUUCCUCAGCCUCAGCCAUCUUGACAUUUGGAGUUGAAUAAUUCUUUGCUAUGGGGGCUGUUCUGUGCACU